AGUGAACGCUGGCGGUAGGCCUAACACAUGCGAGUCGAACGGCAGCACAGUAAGAGCUUGCUCUUACGGGUGGCGAGUGGCGGACGGGUGAGGAAUACAUCGGAAUCUACUUUUUCGUGGGGGAUAACGUAGGGAAACUUACGCUAAUACCGCAUACGACCUACGGGUGAAAGCAGGGGAUCUUCGGACCUUGCGCGAUUGAAUGAGCCGAUGUCGGAUUGGCUAGUUGGCGGGGUAAAGGCCCACCAAGGCGACGAUCCGUAGCUGGUCUGAGAGGAUGAUCAGCCACACUGGAACUGAGACACGGUCCAGACUCCUACGGGAGGCAGCAGUGGGGAAUAUUGGACAAUGGGCGCAAGCCUGAUCCAGCCAUACCGCGUGGGUGAAGAAGGCCUUCGGGUUGUAAAGCCCUUUUGUUGGGAAAGAAAAGCAGCAGGUUAAUACCCCGCUGUUCUGACGGUACCCAAAGAAUAAGCACCGGCUAACUUCGUG
rnacentral:rRNA from 1 species